CCUACUCAUACGGGAGGCAGCAGUGGGGAAUAUUGCACAAUGGGCGCAAGCCUGAUGCAGCGACGCCGCGUGAGGGAUGACGGCCUUCGGGUUGUAAACCUCUUUCAGUAGGGAAGAAGCGUAAGUGACGGUACCUGCAGAAGAAGCGCCGGCUAACUACGUGCCAGCAGCCGCGGUAAUACGUAGGGCGCAAGCGUUAUCCGGAAUUAUUGGGCGUAAAGAGCUCGUAGGCGGUUUGUCGCGUCUGCCGUGAAAGUCCGGGGCUCAACUCCGGAUCUGCGGUGGGUACGGGCAGACUAGAGUGAUGUAGGGGAGACUGGAAUUCCUGGUGUAGCGGUGAAAUGCGCAGAUAUCAGGAGGAACACCGAUGGCGAAGGCAGGUCUCUGGGCAUUAACUGACGCUGAGGAGCGAAAGCAUGGGGAGCGAACAGGAUUAGAUACCCUGGUAGUCCAUGCCGUAAACGUUGGGCACUAGGUGUGGGGGACAUUCCACGUUUUCCGCGCCGUAGCUAACGCAUUAAGUGCCCCGCCUGGGGAGUACGGCCGCAAGGCUAAAACUCAAGGGAAUUGACGGGGGCCCGCACAAGCGGCGGAGCAUGCGGAAUGUUCGAUGCAACGCGAAGAACCUUACCAAGGCUUGACAUGAACCGGAAAGAUCUGAAACCACGCCCCCC
rnacentral:rRNA from 1 species